CCUACGGGAGGCAGCAGUGGGGAAUAUUGCGCAAUGGGCGAAAGCCUGACGCAGCGAAGCCGCGUGAGGGAUGAAGGUCUUCGGAUCGUAAAACUCUGUCAGCAGGGAAGAAAGGUCACUGUGCUAAUCAGCAGUGAAUUGACGGUACCUGCAAAGGAAGGACAGGCUGACUCCGGGCCAGCAGCCGCGGUAAUAGGUAGGGGCCAAGGGUUAUCCGGAUUUACUGGGUGGAAAGGGAACUUAGACGGCAGGGCAAGUGUGGAGUGAAAGGGGGGGGGUCAACCCGCGGACUGCAAUGGAUACUGUACGGCUUGAGUGCAGGAGAGGUAGGUGGAAUUCCUGGUGUAGCGGUGAAAUGCGUAGAUAUUAGGAGGAACACCAGUUGCGAAGGCAGCUUACUGGACUGUAACUGACGUUGAUGCUCGAAAGCGUGGGGAGCAAACAGGAUUAGAUACCCGUGUAGUC
rnacentral:rRNA from 1 species